AUUGAACGCUGGCGGCAGGCUUAACACAUGCAAGUCGAGCGAGCGGCGGACGGGUGAGUAAUGUCUGGGAAACUGCCCGAUGGAGGGGGAUAACUACUGGAAACGGUAGCUAAUACCGCAUACUAUCAGAUGAACCCAUAUGGGAUUAGCUAGUAGGUGGGGUAAUGGCUCACCUAGGCGACGAUCGCUAGCUGGUCUGAGAGGAUGACCAGCCACACUGGAACUGAGACAGGGCCCAGACUCCUACGGGAGGCAGCAGUGGGGAAUAUUGCACAAUGGGCGCAAGCCUGAUGCAGCCAUGCCGCGUGUAUGAAGAAGGCCUUAGGGUUGUAAAGUACUUUCAGCGGGGAGGCGUUACUCGCAGAAGAAGCACCGGCUAACUCCGUGCCAGCAGCCGCGGUAAUUC
rnacentral:rRNA from 1 species